UCCGACCCCCAUUCGCCCCCUGUGUCAGAUCGACCCCCGCUUUUGUUAAAUAGACCCCUGGGGGUCUAUAUAGACCACUUUGGCGACCUCUGCUCUAACGGAACAACAAUAAUGGAAGACCUGUACCUCUUUCGGCCCCUCUGUAAAUUGUUUUUUGAUGAGGAUGAAGACUACUAUAAGUGGGAGGAAAAUUGGGAUGACAUGUCUAGAAAUCCUCUCAACUUCCGUGCAAUUCAGCUUCUGCAUCUUUAUGUGUGGUUCACUUGUUUCGUUGAACCUAAAUUGACUGCUCUAUCCCAGAUACCCUUCUGACCAAGACAGAUAUUUUUAGGCUUUUUAAGGGGAUCAAUCCUGUAUACUAUCAAAAGAUAAAUGACGUAUGGCAAUGGUACUGCAAUCUAGUAAAUUAUGAGGAAACUUCUGACAAGCGUCCAAGAUCUCUGAAGCACCUUUCAAGAUGCAUCAUCAGAAACAGAUUAAGAGACAACAUUAAGUUGCCCGAAGGAGUGGAAGAAAUGGGUGUUCCCAAACAAGUCCAGAAGUAUUUACUUCUGAAAGAUUUCUACACGAUAGAAUGAAUACUUUAACUUGGAAUCAUUUAUUCAAAUUAUUUCAUGAAAGAUAUUAAGGACUAAUCUCGAAAGGAUUUGAAUGUUUGAAUUAUGAUUUCUCCAUAUGUUUUUGUUUCCUAUGAACACGCUGUUUCACUGUUGAACGUGAAAUAUUUUUUCCUCAUAUUAAUAAACAAUGUACUAAAAAAAAGAUUGUGUGCGUACUAGUACGAUUGGUUUUGGCUUGCGCCUUUCAAAUAAAUUUUUUUUCAUUGA